rnacentral:rRNA from 1 species
UACGUAGGGAGCAAGCGUUGUUCGGAUUUACUGGGCGUAAAGGGCGCGUAGGCGGCGCGGUAAGUCACUUGUGAAAUCUCUGAGCUUAACUCAGAACGGCCAAGUGAUACUGCAGUGCUAGAGUGCAGAAGGGGCAAUCGGAAUUCCUGGUGUAGCGGUGAAAUGCGUAGAUAUCAGGAGGAACACCGGUGGUGUAGACGGCUCACUGGACCAUAACUGACGCUGGAGACACGAAAGCGUGGGUAGCAAACAGG